rnacentral:rRNA from 1 species
AUUGAACGCUGGCGGCAGGCCUAACACAUGCAAGUCGAGCGAGCGGCGGACGGGUGAGUACUGUAUGGGGAUCUGCCUGAUGGAGGGGGAUAACUACUGGAAACGGUAGCCAAUACCGCAUACCAUCAGAUGCACCCAGAUGGGAUUAGCUUGUAGGUGAGGUAACGGCUCACCUAGGCGACGAUCCCUAGCUGGUCUGAGAGGAUGAUCAGCCAUCCUGGGACUGUGACACGGCCCAGACUCCUACGGGAGGCAGCAGUUGGGAAGAUUGCCCAAUGGGCGCAAGGCUGAUGCGGCCAUGCCGCUGGUAGGAAGAAGGCCUUCGGGUUGUAAAGUACUUCCAGUCGGGAGGCGUUACCGACAGAAGAAGCACCGGCGAACUCCGUGCCAGCAGCCGCGGUAAUUC